rnacentral:rRNA from 1 species
CUUUAGAUACCCGGGUAGUCCUAGCUGUAAACGAUGGAUACUAGAUGUAGGAACUGGAUUGACGGUUUCUGUAUCGUAGCUAACGCGUUAAGUAUCCCGCCUGGGGAGUACGGUCGCAAGACUAAAACUCAAAGGAAUUGACGGGACCCCGCACAAGCGGCGGAGCAUGCGGCUUAAUUCGAUGAUACCCGUAGAACCUUACCUGGACUUGACAUAUAGGGAAAAGCUAAAGAAAUUUAGUGUGCGUAAGCGCCCUAUACAGGUGGUGCAUGGCCGCCGUCAG